CCACGAAGAGGUGCACAUCCCGAGCACCGCUCGGGGUGGAAGGGUCCUAGGCCCCGAACAGGGGUCACGAUGAGGACCGUGCACAGGCCGAUUGACCCAAAAAAUGCCCAGCCCCCUGAGUAGGGGGCAGAAAACCUAAGCCGCCUGGUGGAUGGCUCGGCUCGGGGCGCCGACGAAGGGC
rnacentral:misc_RNA from 1 species